GACGAACGCUGGCGGCGUGCUUAACACAUGCAAGUCGAACGGAAAGGCCCUGCUUGCAGGGUACUCGAGUGGCGAACGGGUGAGUAACACGUGGGUGAUCUGCCCUGCACUUCGGGAUAAGCCUGGGAAACUGGGUCUAAUACCGGAUAGGAGCCAUUUUUAGUGUGAUGGUUGGAAAGUUUUUUCGGUGUAGGAUGAGCUCGCGGCCUAUCAGCUUGUUGGUGGGGUAAUGGCCUACCAAGGCGGCGACGGGUAGCCGGCCUGAGAGGGUGGACGGCCACAUUGGGACUGAGAAACGGCCCAGACUCCUACGGGAGGCAGCAGUGGGGAAUAUUGCACAAUGGGCGCAAGCCUGAUGCAGCGACGCCGCGUGGGGGAUGACGGCCUUCGGGUUGUAAACUCCGUUCGCUAGGGACGAAGCUUUUUGUGACGGUACCUAGAUAAGAAGCACCGGCUAACUACGUG
rnacentral:rRNA from 1 species